rnacentral:lncRNA from 1 species
CCCAGCUUCCCGAACUGUGAGUUUAAAGGAAGCAGCUGGCGAGAGGGGAGCCCAGCACACUAUGCAAGAGAGAUGCCUCUAAGAUUUUAUCUGUGGCCACCGACUGGAGCCAUUUGGACCGGGUACAGCAGUGGAAACUCUGUGAUGGUGACAAACAUGGGAAUCACUCUGAUGUGACGCAGUUAAAUUUACACCUUAAAAAAUGGAUGCCAAGACAACAUAAACAAGACCCAGGGACACCAACAGGGUAUGGUGCUGUGCCCCAGAGUCAGGGUCCUGGGUUCUUACCCAGGGAAGUGAGAAAUAAAGAUAACUUUUCCCUGCUCCCUCUCUCCUCCCCUGACACUGAUCUUCCCACCCUGUACCUCCCUCUUCUGCUCCCAAACCCCCACCCAGUGCUCAGUCGCAGACAUCACUGCCUGCAGGGCAUGCACAGUGCAGCCCAUUGCACACAAACUACAAACUCACAGAAGGUGAUGACAAUUUGUGUUUGGGACGUCUGAUUGUGAAAGAGGGAGGACAGCGUACUUGCAGCCACAGAGACUGAAACUGGAACGUGAUGGAACGGGGCUGGAACGUGAUGGAGCUCUGACAUAACAGACGUGUGACUUUGUGUGAAAUGUGCA